GUAACUUCGGGUACAUCAGAUAAAUUGGAACCAUACAGAGAAAUUAGCAUGGCGCUGUGCAAGGAUGACACGCACAAAUCAAAAAAUUAUCCAAAUCUUU
rnacentral:snRNA from 1 species